rnacentral:rRNA from 1 species
CAUGCAAGUCGAACGGACUUACUUUUUUUAGUAGUAUGUAGCAAGCAGUAUGUAGCAAGGGUUUCCCUUUCUACUUUCUGCAUUCUACCUGCUGCCGGUAAGUUAGUGGCGGACGGGUGAGUAACACGUUGGUACUUGCCCUCUAGUGGGGAAUAACUGGCCGAAAGGUCGGCUAAUACCGCAUAAUAUCUUCGGAUUAAAGCAUUUAUGCGCUAGAGGAGAGGCCUGCGUCUGAUUAGCUAGUUGGUAGUGUAAUGGACUACCAAGGCGACGAUCAGUAGCUGGUUCGAGAGGAUGACCAGCCACACUGGGACUGAGAUACGGCCCAGACUCCUACGGGAGGCAGCAGUGAGGAAUCUUCCGCAAUGGACGAAAGUCUGACGGAGCAACACCGCGUGCAGGAUGACGGCUUUCGGGUUGUAAACUGCUUUUAUAUGGGAAGAUUAUGACGGUACCAUAUGAAUAAGGACCGGCUAACUACGUGCCAGCAGCCGCGGUAAUACGUAGGGUCCAAGCGUUAUCCGGAAUUACUGGGCGUAAAGCGUACGUAGGCGGGUGCUUAAGUGAAAUGCGAAAUCUUGUGGCUCAACCAUAUAGACUGUAUUUCAUACUGGGCGCCUUGAGGAUGGCAGAGGCAAGUGGAAUUUGUAGUGUAGCAGUGAAAUGCGUAGAUAUUACAAGGAACACCAAUGGCGAAGGCAGCUUGCUGGGCCAUAUCUGACGCUGAGGUACGAAAGCGUGGGGAGCGAACAGGAUUAGAUACCCUGGUAGUCCACGCCGUAAACGAUGCACACUAAUAGUAUGGGGUAUCGACCCCCUGUGCUGUGAAGCUAACGCGAUAAGUGUGCCGCCUGGGGAGUACGAGCGCAAGCUUAAAACUCAAAGGAAUUGACGGGGACCCGCACAAGCAGAGGAUGAUGUGGUUUAAUUCGAAGCUACGCGUAGAACCUUACCAAGGCUUGACAUCCUAGGAAUCCGCUAGAAACAGUGGAGUGCCUUCGGGAACCUAGUGACAGGUGCUGCAUGGCCGUCGUCAGCUCGUGUUG